rnacentral:lncRNA from 1 species
GUUAGAGACAAAGGUAAGGUACAACUCUCGCACACCAAGUCAAGAUCCCUGCUGUGGGAAGCUCCAUCGCCUGGGGUCUGGAAAUGCAAUGUGGACGGUACAAUUUUUUAUGCAGGUUAUGAGGCAGGAUAGGGAGCAGUCGUCUGAGACUCGACAGAAAGAGUAUUGACGGUUUUCUCUGGCAGGUUAUGAGGGUGUCACUCUCCCUAUCUAACUGAACCACUUGGCUACCAUAAUUCACUGCAAUAUAUAAUCUCCAAUAUCACUGGGUCGAUGUUUUCGAAGUGGACGCACAGAUGGUAAAAAAAGCUUUGACGACCAAUGGGGAAGAUUGUUCUUAAGUUAAUGUAUCCAUAAGUUGGGUUCGAAG